rnacentral:rRNA from 1 species
UGGGGAAUAUUGCACAAUGGGCGCAAGCCUGAUGCAGCCAUGCCGCGUGUAUGAAGAAGGCCUUCGGGUUGUAAAGUACUUUCAGCGAGGAGGAAGGUGUUGAGGUUAAUAACCUCAGCAAUUGACGUUACUCGCAGAAGAAGAACCGGCUAACUCCGUGCCAGCAGCCGCGGGAAUACGGAGGGUGCAAGCGUUAAUCGGAAUUACUGGGCGUAAAGCGCACGCAGGCGGUCUGUCAAGUCGGAUGUGAAAUCCCCGGGCUCAACCUGGGAACUGCAUUCGAAACUGGCAGGCUAGAGUCUUGUAGAGGGGGGUAGAAUUCCAGGUGUAGCGGUGAAAUGCGUAGAGAUCUGGAGGAAUACCGGUGGCGAAGGCGGCCCCCUGGACAAAGACUGACGCUCAGGUGCGAAAGCGUGGGGAGCAAACA